rnacentral:rRNA from 1 species
AUUUUCCGGUUGAUCCUGCCGGACCCUACUGCUAUCGGGGUGGGACUAAGACAUGCGUGUCGAACGACCCCUAGCCAUGAAGGGGACGUGGCAUACGGCUCAGUAACACGUGGCUAACCUACCCUCGAGAUAGGGACAACCCCGGGAAACUGGGGCUAAUCCCCGAUAGAUGAGAACACCUGGAACGGGUUCUCGUCCAAAAGGCGCCUAGAUCAUGCUUCUAGACGCUGCUCAAGGAUGGGGCCGCGGCCGAUCAGGCUGUUGGUGAGGCAAUGGCUCACCAAACCUUUAACCGGUACGGGCCGUGGGAGCGGGAGCCCGGAGAUGGGAACUGAGACAAGGUCCCAGGCCCUACGGGGCGCAGCAGUCGCGAAAACUUGUCAAUGCACGAAAGUGUGAACGGGCUACCCCGAGUGCCGUCCGCUGAGGAUGGCUUUUCUCUGCUGUAAGGAAGCGGAGGAAUAAGGCGAGGGCAAGUCUGGUGUCAGCCGCCGCGGUAAUACCAGCUCGCCGAGUGGUAGGGAUGAUUAUUGGGCUUAAAGCGUCCGUAGCCGGCCUCUCAAGUCUCUCGUUAAAUCCAGCGAUUCAAUCGUUGGACUGCGGGAGAUACUGUCAGGCUAGGAGGCGGGAGAAGCCGACGGUAUUUUCGGGGUAGGGGUAAAAUCCUAUAAUCCCGGGAAGACCACCAGUGGCGUAGGCGGUCGGCUAGCACGCGCUCGACGGUGAGGGACGAAAGCUGGGGGAGCGAACCGGAUUAGAUACCCGGGUAGUCCCAGCUGUAAACGAUGCUGGCUAGGUGUUGGAGCGGCUACGAGCCGCUCCAGUGCCGCAGGGAAGCCAUUAAGCCAGCCGCCUGGGGAGUACGGCCGCAAGGCUGAAACUUAAAGGAAUUGGCGGGGGAGCACCACAAGGGGUGAAGCUUGCGGUUUAAUUGGAUUCAACGCCGGAAAU